rnacentral:rRNA from 1 species
AGAUGGCGACCGGCGCACGGGUGAGUAACACGUAUCCAACCUGCCGAUAACUCGGGGAUGGCCUUUCGAAAGAAAGAUUAAUACCCGAUGGUAUAAUCAGACCGCAUGGUUUGAUUAUUAAAGAAUUUCGGUUAUCGAUGGGGAUGCGUUCCAUUAGGCAGUUGGUGAGGUAACGGCUCACCAAACCUUCGAUGGAUAGGGGUUCUGAGAGGAAGGUCCCCCACAUUGGAACUGAGACACGGUCCAA